UGCUUAACACAUGCAAGUCGAACGCUGAAGCUUGGGUGCUUGCAUCUGGGUGGAUGAGUGGCGAACGGGUGAGUAAUACGUGAGUAACCUGCCCUUGACUCUGGGAUAAGCCUGGGAAACUGGGUCUAAUACUGGAUACUACACUCUCUCGCAUGGGGGUGUGUGGAAAGGGUUUUACUGGUUUUGGAUGGGCUCACGGCCUAUCAGCUUGUUGGUGGGGUAAUGGCCUACCAAGGCGACGACGGGUAGCCGGCCUGAGAGGGUGACCGGCCACACUGGGACUGAGACACGGCCCAGACUCCUACGGGAGGCAGCAGUGGGGAAUAUUGCACAAUGGGCGAAAGCCUGAUGCAGCGACGCCGCGUGAGGGAUGACGGCCUUCGGGUUGUAAACCUCUUUCAGCACGGAAGAAGCGAAAGUGACGGUACGUGCAGAAGAAGCGCCGGCUAACUACGUGCCAGCAGCCGCGGUAAUACGUAGGGCGCAAGCGUUGUCCGGAAUUAUUGGGCGUAAAGAGCUCGUAGGCGGUUUGUCGCGUCUGCUGUGAAAGCCCGGGGCUUAACCCCGUGGUGUGCAGUGGGUACGGGCAGACUAGAGUGCAGUAGGGGAGACUGGAAUUCCUGGUGUAGCGGUGAAAUGCGCAGAUAUCAGGAGGAACACCGAUGGCGAAGGCAGGUCUCUGGGCUGUUACUGACGCUGAGGAGCGAAAGCAUGGGGAGCGAACAGGAUUAGAUACCCUGGUAGUCCAUGCCGUAAACGUUGGGCACUAGGUGUGGGGGACAUUCCACGUUUUCCGCGCCGUAGCUAACGCAUUAAGUGCCCC
rnacentral:rRNA from 1 species